rnacentral:rRNA from 1 species
UACGUAGGGGGCAAGCGUUGUCCGGAAUCAUUGGGCGUAAAGAGCGUGUAGGCGGCCAGAUAAGUCCGCUGUGAAAUCUCGAGGCUCAACUUCGAGCUGUCGGUGGAAACUGUCUGGCUAGAGUCCGGAAGAGGAGAAUGGAAUUCCUGGUGUAGCGGUGAAAUGCGCAGAUAUCAGGAAGAACACCCGUGGCGAAGGCGGUUCUCUGGGACGGUACUGACGCUGGAGACGCGAAAGCGUGGGGAGCAAACAGG